UACGGGGGGGGCAAGCGUUGUUCGGAAUUACUGGGCGUAAAGGGCGUGUAGGUGGCCAACUAAGUCCGACGUGAAAUCCCCAGGCUUAACCUGGGAACUGCGUCGGAUACUGGAUGGCUUGAAUUCGGGAGAGGGAUGCAGAAUUCCAGGUGUAGCGGUGAAAUGCGUAGAUAUCUGGAGGAAUACCGGUGGCGAAGGCGGCAUCCUGGACCGAGAUUGACACUGAGGCGCGAAAGCUAGGGGAGCAAACGGG
rnacentral:rRNA from 1 species